CGGGAUCUCGCUCCAUCUCUUAGGGGAAAACAGCGGCUGUCUUCACUCGGAGCGCCGACAGGGCAGGCUCAGCUGACGCGACGGGAGGAGCAGAAAGGGAAAGGAGAGGAGUGUAGCAUCAGUCUAUGAGUGGCCGGGUCAACUCUUGCCGUCAUCCUGAUCCGACUCAAGAGUCUGCUGAAGCUACUGUGUCUGUAGACAGGCUUAGAUGGAGCUUCUGUUUUCUUUGUAAACCUGUUGCAAACCCAAACCUCCAGUCCCUGGUUGAGGCAGAAGAACAGACCCAGG